rnacentral:rRNA from 1 species
CCUACGGGUGGCAGCAGUGGGGAAUUUUGGACAAUGGGGGCAACCCUGAUCCAGCAAUGCCGCGUGAGUGAAGAAGGCCUUCGGGUUGUAAAGCUCUUUUGUCAGGGAAGAAACGGGAUUUUCUAAUACAGAGUCCUAAUGACGGUACCUGAAGAAUAAGCACCGGCUAACUACGUGCCAGCAGCCGCGGUAAUACGUAGGGUGCAAGCGUUAAUCGGAAUUACUGGGCGUAAAGCGUGCGCAGGCGGUUUUGUAAGUUUGUCGUGAAAUCCCCGGGCUCAACCUGGGAAUGGCGAUGAAGACUGCAAGGCUAGAGUUUGUCAGAGGGGGGUAGAAUUCCACGUGUAGCAGUGAAAUGCGUAGAUAUGUGGAGGAACACCGAUGGCGAAGGCAGCCCCCUGGGUCAAAACUGACGCUCAUGCACGAAAGCGUGGGGAGCA